UACGGGGGGGGGCAAGCGUUGUUCGGAAUUACUGGGCGUAAAGGGCUUGUAGGUGGCCAACUAAGUCAGACGUGAAAUCCCACGGCUUAACCGAGGAACUGCGUCUGAUACUGGAUGGCUUGAGUGUGGGAGAGGGAUGCGGAAUUCCAGGUGUAGCGGUGAAAUGCGUAGAUAUCUGGAGGAACACCGGUGGCGAAGGCGGCAUCCUGGACCAAUUCUGACGCUGAGGAGCGAAAGCCAGGGGAGCAAACGGG
rnacentral:rRNA from 1 species